rnacentral:rRNA from 1 species
GAUGAACGCUGGCGGCGUGCCUAAUACAUGCAAGUCGAGCGAACAGACGAGGAGCUUGCUCCUCUGACGUUAGCGGCGGACGGGUGAGUAACACGUGGAUAACCUACCUAUAAGACUGGGAUAACUUCGGGAAACCGGAGCUAAUACCGGAUAAUAUCUUGAACCGCAUGGUUCAAUGGUGAAAGACGGUUUUGCUGUCCACUAUAGAUGGAUCCGCGCCGGCUUAGCUAGUUGGUAAGGUAACGGCUUACCAAGGCAACGAUGCGUAGCCGACCUGAGGGGGGGACCGGCCACACUGGAACUGAGACACGGUCCAGACUCCUACGGGAGGCAGCAGUGGGGAAUCUUCCGCAAAGGGCGAAAGCCUGACGGAGCACCGCCGCGGGAGUGAUGAAGGUCUUCGGAUCUUAAAACUCUGUUAUUAGGGAAGAACAAAUGUGUAAGUAACUAUGCACGUCGUGACGGUACCUAAUCAGAAAGCCCCGGCUAACUACGUG